UACAGAGGGGGCUAGCGUUGCUCGGAAUUACUGGGCGUAAAGGGCGCGUAGGCGGCACUGUUAGUCAGGCGUGAAAGUCCUGGGCUCAACCUGGGAACUGCGCUUGAUACGGCAGAGCUAGAGGAUGGAAGAGGCUCGCGGAAUUCCCAGUGUAGAGGUGAAAUUCGUAGAUAGUUGGGAAGAACACCGGUGGCGAAGGCGGCGAGCUGGUCCAUUACUGACGCUGAGGCGCGACAGCGUGGGGAGCAAACAGG
rnacentral:rRNA from 1 species